GCCAUAGCUCAGUGGUAGAGCAUUUGCCUUGCAUGCAGAAGGUCCCAGGUUCAAUCCCAAAUAGCAGCU